UACGUAGGGUGCGAGCGUUGUCCGGAAUUACUGGGCGUAAAGAGCUCGUAGGUGGUUUGUCGCGUUGUUCGUGAAAUCUCACGGCUUAACUGUGAGCGUGCGGGCGAUACGGGCAGACUGGAGUACUGCAGGGGAGACUGGAAUUCCUGGUGUAGCGGUGGAAUGCGCAGAUAUCAGGAGGAACACCGGUGGCGAAGGCGGGUCGCUGGGACGGUACUGACGCUGAGGCGCGAAAGCGUGGGGGAGCGAACAGG
rnacentral:rRNA from 1 species